rnacentral:rRNA from 1 species
UCGAACGGAAGAUAUGCAGAGAUGAGAUUUCGGUCAAAUCAAGUGUAUCUUUAGUGGCGGACGGGUGAGUAACGCGUGGGUAACCUGCCAUAUACAGGGGGAUAACACUUAGAAAUAGGUGCUAAUACCGCAUAAGCGCACAUGGCCGCAUGGCCAGGUGUGAAAAACUCCGGUGGUAUAUGAUGGACCCGCGUCUGAUUAGCUAGUUGGUGAGGUAACGGCCCACCAAGGCGACGAUCAGUAGCCGGCCUGAGAGGGUGGACGGCCACAUUGGGACUGAGACACGGCCCAAACUCCUACGGGAGGCAGCAGUGGGGGAUAUUGGACAAUGGGGGGAACCCUGAUCCAGCGACGCCGCGUGAGUGAAGAAGUAUCUCGGUAUGUAAAGCUCUAUCAGCAGGGAAGAAAGAAAUGACGGUACCUGAGUAAGAAGCCCCGGCUAACUACGUGCCAGCAGCCGCGGUAAUACGUAGGGGGCAAGCGUUAUCCGGAAUUACUGGGUGUAAAGGGAGCGUAGACGGUGAUGUAAGUCUGGAGUGAAAGGCGGGGGCCCAACCCCCGGACUGCUCUGGAAACUAUAUGACUGGAGUGCAGGAGAGGUGAGCGGAAUUCCUAGUGUAGCGGUGAAAUGCGUAGAUAUUAGGAGGAACACCAGUGGCGAAGGCGGCUCACUGGACUGUAACUGACGUUGAGGCUCGAAAGCGUGGGGAGCAAACAGGAUUAGAUACCCUGGUAGUCCA